GGCAGUUCUCAGGUGACGCACCCCAGAAUUGGGCUCCCUCCUCUCUGGUUCUGGGUGUGUCACCCGAGAAACA
rfam:Myotis lucifugus cont2.22470, whole genome shotgun sequence.